AAUCAAGUGCCUUAAGGGUGUUCGGUGGAUGCCUUGGCGCUGAGAGGCGAUGAAGGACGUGCUACGCUGCGAUAAGCCGUGGGGAGCUGCGAAGAAGCUUUGAUCCGCGGAUUUCCGAAUGGGGAAACCCACCUUCGAUAGCCGGAACUCCAAGACCUUAGGUUUUGGGGUUUGACCAGAAAUGAUCGGGACCAUGACCGCAAGGUUUUGGAUUUCCGGUUAUCAAGAGAAGGUAUGAGACUUCUGAAUACAUAGGAGGUUUCAAGCAAACCCAGGGAACUGAAACAUCUAAGUACCUGGAGGAAAGGACAUCAACAGAGACUCCGUUAGUAGUGGCGAGCGAACGCGGACCAGGCCAGUGAUACAUCAAAGACAAUCGGAACCAGUCAGGAAAGCUGGGCCUCAGAGGGUGAUAGCCCCGUACGAGUAAUGCGAUGAUGUAUCCAC
rnacentral:rRNA from 1 species